CAGUACUCGCUGUAAUCUCAUGAUUUCAUUUCCAGCAUAUUUUAUUUGAAUCAGUCUGUAAAACGGAGUGAGUCUCGUAUGCAUAAAAUACAGAGGAUAGGGCCGGUGCCACUGGGCCAUCUUUUCAUUAAUAUCGAGUGAGGGUUUUGUCUAAAUUACCGCUAUGCAUUUCACAGUGCGCCCUUUCAAAGGACGUCUCAAGCGGUCCCCUGAAACGUGAGCGAGACUGUGAAAAAGAAGUCACUUUUCUUCCAAAACAGUGAAGAGAGGGAGAAAAAAUAUAUAUUUUUCAGAUCUUCCGUUUCGAGUUCUGCCUUUCAGAUUUUUCUUCAUUAAAGUGAUGCAAUACUACUUAUUUAUUUGUUUAUUUUGUGAGGUCUCCGCGUUCCCUGCUGUGGGGUUCAUUUGUUUUGUCUGCAGAAACGAAAGGGGAAAAAAUCUCCAAGUAUAACAAGAGACGAACAGUUAGUGCUGAUUUUCAUUUGCAUAAAUUUUCAUAUAUUUUAGUGAAAAUAAUAGCGGAGCCAAGGAGAGCUCCGCUCAGUUGUGUCAGAGGAUAGGAAAAUCUUAGGACGGACCGUUUCGAAGGAGGGCAGGCACAGGACUCCAGUCGUUAAUUAAAGCUAAAUAGAAAAUGAAUACUUGCCGUUUUCCUGAGCAUUCGUGGAUUUACAGAUGAUGCAGCACGGUCCCCUGAUCUCCCUCUCGCCCGAAGCAAGGCCUCCUGGGUAAGGCGGACUCAGCCACCGAGGCGGAGAGUGACCACGGCUCCCCCGCUCCCGCUUCUUCUUCGUCAGUGGAGAAAUAUGCAGUUCUUCUGGAGCAUCGCUGCUGCAGGCUGUUUUCUUUGGGAGACUAUAAAGAUAUGCAAAUGCAGCAGUUAAAAUGAAGGGAAAAGUAGAAAGAAAAAGACUUGCACAUUUUGUAUUUGUCUUCCUGGUAGUGGUGAGAGUUCAUUCUGCAGGAGAUUGCAAGAGUUUACCGUUGACUUAGUUUUAGAGGGUGAGAGAGAGAGAAAGAGAGCGAUAGAGAGAGAGAGACAGAGAGAGACAGAGGCAGAGAGAGAGAACAGCCCAGGUAGAACAGCAGGAAAUUAAAGAUAUUUUCAAAGCCUCAGUUUGCCUCAGCCCCAGAUUUUCUAUUUUUGUUGUGGCCUAGCUCCAAAAGGGGAAUAAAUAAAUAAAUAAAAUAGA